rnacentral:rRNA from 1 species
UCGAUUCCCUUAGUAGCGGCGAGCGAAACGGGAAGAGCCCAAACCAACAAGCUUGCUUGUUGGGGUUGUAGGACACUCUAUACGGAGUUACAAAGGACGACAUUAGACGAAUCAUCUGGAAAGAUGAAUCAAAGAAGGUAAUAAUCCUGUAGUCGAAAAUGUUGUCUCUCUUGAGUGGAUCCUGAGUACGACGGAGCACGUGAAAUUCCGUCGGAAUCUGGGAGGACCAUCUCCUAAGGCUAAAUACUCUCUAGUGACCGAUAGUGAACCAGUACCGUGAGGGAAAGGUGAAAAGCACCCCGGAAGGGGAGUGAAAUAGAACCUGAAACCGUGUGCUUACAAGUAGUCAGAGCCCGUUAAUGGGUGAUGGCGUGCCUUUUGUAGAAUGAACCGGCGAGUUACGAUUUGAUGCAAGGUUAAGCAGUAAAUGUGGAGCCGUAGCGAAAGCGAGUCUGAAUAGGGCGUUUAGUAUUUGGUCGUAGACCCGAAACCAGGUGAUCUACCCUUGGUCAGGUUGAAGUUCAGGUAACACUGAAUGGAGGACCGAACCGACUUACGUUGAAAAGUGAGCGGAUGAACUGAGGGUAGCGGAGAAAUUCCAAUCGAACCUGGAGAUAGCUGGUUCUCUCCGAAAUAGCUUUAGGGCUAGCCUCAAGUGAUGAUUAUUGGAGGUAGAGCACUGUUUGGACGAGGGGCCCCUCUCGGGUUACCGAAUUCAGACAAACUCCGAAUGCCAAUUAAUUUAACUUGGGAGUCAGAACAUGGGUGAUAAGGUCCGUGUUCGAAAGGGAAACAGCCCAGACCACCAGCUAAGGUCCCAAAAUAUAUGUUAAGUGGAAAAGGAUGUGGCGUUGCCCAGACAACUAGGAUGUUGGCUUAGAAGCAGCCAUCAUUUAAAGAGUGCGUAAUAGCUCACUAGUCGAGUGACACUGCGCCGAAAAUGUACCGGGGCUAAACAUAUUACCGAAGCUGUGGAUUGUCCUUUGGACAAUGGUAGGAGAGCGUUCUAAGGGCGUUGAAGCAUGAUCGUAAGGACAUGUGGAGCGCUUAGAAGUGAGAAUGCCGGUGUGAGUAGCGAAAGACGGGUGAGAAUCCCGUCC